UUUCAAGUAAUCUCAUAUACCCCUUAUACAAAUUUGCCAUUAUAAAUUAAAACUACUGGGCAAAUAACUGCAGGCUCCAUUAGCGGAAAUAACUAUAUAUCGAAACACCGUGUAUGCGUGUAUAUAGUAAAGCACUCUGCAGUACCAAACUUAGAUCUAUAUAUGUACCGACAAGCGAUUUACCAUGAAGGAGGGAAAUAACAAAAUUGAUAAACUGCGUUCUUAAAUGCGUAAAUAUCCUAAUUGUCUAAUUUAUUGAAUAAUCUUUUAGUUUUACAAAGCUAAAUAUAAGAUUAAAAAUGUCUUUCUAGAUGUAACUACAGAUAUACAUCUAAGAAUAAAAUAGUUUGAGUGUUAUAGAAUGUAUGUAUAAUAUUAUCAGCAUAAUUAAUGAUUUGCUUUGUUCGAAUUUUUUGGCCAAUUUUUCUGAAAAAAAAAAAAUUGAAAAUCAAAUUAAAUGAAUAAUGUUAAAUGUUAUCAACAUUUACUUGAUAAAUCAAUAAUUAAUUUACAUAGUUGAGAGGCCAAAGAUGAGUUUGACUUUGCUGAUCAGAAUUUGAAUGUUGGUUAUCUUUGAUGUUAGAAUGACUAUUUUGUUGAGAACCAUUAUUGUCUAAUCCAUCUUUGUGCAUACUUGAUAAUGCAGAUCUGUGGUUAUCAUUUGCUUCAAAAUUGAUUGUAUUAUCAGAAAUAUCAAGAGAUCUUUCAUUUUUCCAAACAUCUACCCAGGAUUCAGAGUUGUAGACUGGAUACACUGCAUACAUAACUGACCAUGGAGUAAUGUUUGAAUAAUCAAGAGUAGCAGCUUCACAAGAAACGAUGGAAAGUGCUAUGCAAGCAAUCUAAAAAUAAUGCAACAAGAAUUAUUAAAAUAAUAUACAUUGUUAUUACUCUCAAUAUUUAUGAAGUUACUGAAAAGCAAGUAAAUGCAUUCACUUACAACCAAUGAGAAAAACAUUUUCAAGCUGGUGAAAGAUGACUGACAGCAUAAAAAGAAGUGCGCUUAUUUUAUAGUCUCUGGAAGUGUAGUCAUUUAGAAAAAAAUCCACAGUACUAAGUUACAUCUUGGAUUAAAAGCCUUAUGUUUCAUUAAUCUAAAGACUGUCUCUUAUUCAAGAUCAAAUAAAAGAUGAUUAAGGAAAAUA